GAGAUCUGGUUAAUGAUCAGUCCGACUUCCUGAGGUAGAAAGCAGCUGGGAACUGAACUGGCGCAUGUGAGGGAUGCCUACCGUUGAGACCGGCAGAGCGUUUUGCAGGAAUAAAAUGAGGAUUCCAGGUCUCUCUCUCUAGCGUCUGGUGGCCAUUGUCUGUGUGUGCCCAGAGGAAGGGGGAGUCCCGUGACGAGUGUGUUCUGUGAGUGGGAUACGCAGGGAUUGUAGGAGCUGGGCCCAUCGCCUUGUGUGGCUAGGCAGUGACUGUGCUCCCUGCAUCACCCCUGUCCAUCUCCCUGCUUGGACACCACACAGUCAUCUUCCCCUCUCCGCCCCGUUCCAGCAGAAAUGUUCCCUUCACAGGUCUUGGGACAUGGAUGCAUUGGGAGCCAGUCACGUCUGUUUCCCCUGUACUGGUGCUUUUCACCCUGGGAAUACAAGCUUGUCUCCAAGGUCUGUCUGUGGGGAAAUGUAAAUACACCGGUAAGAUCCGGGGUCUGUGGCUGGCGUUAUACAAGGGGUUGGCCCUUUCUAAGCAAACACCCACAAUUAUCAAUGUAGAUGUUAGUGUUUGUAUCACUUGAGGCCUUUGGAGUGGUUUUCAAUUGAGACCUGGUGUUUAUUCAGAGAGAUCCUUGCUGCGGUGACCUUUCUGAACUGCCACAUUCCUUUUAAUUAUGAGUGGCAGGUCAUGGAAAUUUGGGCCAGUGAUUGGCAGCUGAAGUAACUUUCUUCCUUCGCACAAUUCUUUAGGUUCCUUCCUAUCAAUAGUCAGAACGUUGGCUACUUUUCUGGGAUAAAUAACAACCUUUGGCCCCUGCCUUUCUUUGGCAAAUGCUCAACACUUCAUUCCUUUCAGCAGCUCCUAGGAAUGCAGCUGAAAAGGCCUCCCCAGGCUUGGCCAUUGGCUGUGUGUGCCACGGGAAGGGGGUGGUCAUGUGGGGAGCAUGUUCUGUGAGACAGUUACCCAGGUACUGUAGGGUCUGGGCCCUGCCUUGUGUUGGGAGGCAGGUAGGUUUAACCUAACAGCUAUACCAUCAGUAAAAUGUUACGGGUAAAGAAAGGCUUGGAUGUGAAAGGGAUUUCCCUUGUAUUGCAUGCAAGGAAGGACACCAACCCCCAGCUCAUGUGGUGUGUCUGUCCCUGCAACCCUUCUUAUCCUGAGCUCACCAGAAAGCGGGUGUUCUCUCCUGAGAUGGGGCUGGCGGGGGAGGCAAGUGUCCCAAACACAGUCUGCAGGGGGUGCAUGGUGGGGUGUACAAACCCCACACGCACUGGGAGUGGUUAAUGGAGGCCUGUGGGCCCAAUCAACCCCACCCCACCAUACCUGCAGCAGGGGUCAGGAGGGGAGAGAGAGACAGAAGAAGAGGGCCUGGCUCAGUUGGGGCUGAUCAGGGAAGAGAGCUGACCUGAGCGUGCCUGCCAGCCAGGAGAGCCGCCCUGGGAACAGAGGCCAGGCCCACGAAGACCAGCCAGGUGCCAGUUGUUUGAAGAUAGCAGGACCCUGCCCUUCUGAGCAGGGCCUAAGGACUCACUGGACAAGCUACUUUGGAGUUCCUUUAUUUGGGACUUUGAUGCCCUGGAAAGAGUGGAACCGAUGAGUAUCGUAGCAAGAAGCUAAAGGUGCCACAGCAUCACACCUCGCAAGAGAAAGGAUCCAGCCAUCGGAUACCCCGAGGCAGGGUGAGUAGCGCCAGGUCAGGCCACAGGGGCGCCGUAAACGCCAAGUGUCUUGCAGUUAUAUUUAUAUUAAAAAAGAGCAAACAGAAAUGUCAUGACUCUUUGUUAAUGGAAAUACAGCUUGUUGUUUGCAACUCUCAGGCAUCAUGGAGAAUCACAGAAAUAUGAGCCAGAAAAGACCUAUUACAUAAUCAUGCCAAUUCUCUGCCAACACAGGAUUUUAUACUUAACAUGACCCAUUUCCAAAGGAAUCUCUGCCCCAGCUGUUCCUGCUUAAAGCAGGUAUUCAAAGGUCUGAGCUAUGGUCUCUUACCCACCACCCUUCACAAGGCCCCGCUGCCUCCUUUUGCAUGUCAUGCUGCAGCCUAAACUAGCCUCUUUCGCGGCUCAGCAAUUCCAGCACUCAGUCCAAAUGUGUGGGUUCCAGAUCUGCCUGGGACCUGCUUUCAGAUUGUGCUCAUUUCCGGCUCAGAUUAAAGGCCCGGCUGUGCCUACAACAUAUGGAACCUUGUACAUUUUCAACAUUUACAAUUCAAUAAAUUGUGUUAAUUGAUUGCAGAGCUGGAGGAGGAGGCCUGGGACUUUGGUUUCCUAUAACAAAUAAACAUGUUUCAAGUGUUUGCAAUGAGCCGCUCCCAGGCCUGGCUGAGCCAUCAUGUGGUUUGUCAUUCUCUAUUUGCAUGUGUCAGUGUCUCUUCUCUCCCUGCAGCAUUUGGCAUCACCACAGUCCUGAGAACUCCCUCUCAGCCCCACCCCCAUGCCCAGCUCAUGCAAAGAAAGAGGAUCUAUACAUUCGAACAGGGAUGGGAGCAAGUGAUGACAAAGCUCUGCCCUUGCUGACGCAUGUUCAAGCGAAGCCAAGCCUUCACCAGGAACAGAAUGUGAAUUGGAUUCAUGGAACAGGAAAGCCUGUCAGGCUGAUCUGGCAGUCCCAGGACAUUCCCUUUGGUACAGCUCUUGUUUAUGGGACUCGCAGCCCUCCCCCUUCCUUCCCCGAUGGUUUCUCAUUUUCUGGCCAGGCCCUAGAGUCUCCACUCCUGUUCAAAACAGUUUUUCUUUACGUUGGCAUUGGAACAAAAGUGAAUCACGCAGCGUUUGCUGACUUCACUUUGUAUAAAGAUUAGGAAAAUAGUUGAGAUAAAUACUGGCUUCAGAGUGUGGAAUAAUCUGGAUCAUUUUAACAGACCACGCCAUGGAACCCUUCCCCUUUCCAGAUACGCGGCUUGAGGUCCCACCAGUCUCCACUUUCCUCCUAACCUGCGAUUAACUCCGCACUUUCUUAUAAACUCUGCCAGCUUCCUAUAGACGAACUAAUCACAAUGCUGCACAGUGCUUGGGUUCCUUCCCCUUCCAGCUGACCUCUGAGGAAGCAAAAGCUUUAGUCUGUGAAUUUUCAGGGUGGGUAACUGUGAACAGUAAUUGCAGGCUGGGUUCCCUCUCCUCUGGCUUUUCCCCUCACAACACACACAUGCUUUAGCCUUGUCUGGCUCAUACCUAUUCAGAAUGCUGUUACCAUCACUUUGACCAUGUCCGCUCCCCUGGCUUCCCUUUCUCUAUCGUGUCAAACAUCAGCUGCUUCUCUUCACUUUCAUGGCCACUCCUGGCCUGUCCUCACCCUCCCUAUCAGCUUCUACCUCUGAUCAGCCAAUGAUGCAGCCUCCAUCUCCACUUGUGAAAUUUUCAAAGUAGCCCCUUCCUCGCACGCUUUCUCCCACGCUGCCCCUCACACUUGGGAGAAGCUGCUGCCAAGCUGCCUCCUUAUUCUCCUUCAGAUCCCGCCUUAGAACUCUCUUCUGCUGCGAUCCCUACAGAAACCUGACCACAGCUAGGAUGUUGAUGUGCUGAGACCACUGCCUGUCAUGCUGAUCAAUACUGUCUCAUUGCUUCUUUGUA